CUCUGCCCGACUCUGGUUCGCA
rnacentral:miRNA from 1 species